rnacentral:rRNA from 1 species
AGCGAACGCUGGCGGCAGGCCUAACACAUGCAAGUCGAACGGAUCCUUCGUGAUUAGUGGCGGACGGGUGAGUAACACGUGGGAACGUGCCCUUUGGUUCGGAACAACUCAGGGAAACUUGAGCUAAUACCGGAUGUGCCCUUCUGUGGAAACAUUUAUCGCCAUUGGAGCGGCCCGCGUCUGUUGAGCUAGUUGGUGAGGUAACGGCCCACCAAGGCGACGAUCAGUAGCUGGGCUGAGAGGCUGAUCAGCCACACUGGGACUGAGACACGGCCGAGACUCCUACGGGAGGCAGCAGUGGGGAAUCUUGCGAAAUGGGCGAAAGGCUGACGCAGCCAUGCCGCGUGAAUGAUGAAGGUCUUAGGAUUGUAAAAUUCUUUCAGCGGGGACGAUAAUGACGGUACCCGCAGAAGAAGCUCCGGCUAACUUCGUG